UUUUAGCCCUGAACUUGCCGAGGCGGGAGCCCCCCACUCAUCAUGUGGAGAGUUAGGGGAUAAACGAAGGGCCCGGGCCGUGGACGCUGAGGACCCUUGGGGCUCUUCCCCGUGGGCAGGGCGGACUAGCUCUGAACCGCUGGGGGGUGGCGGGAGGAAGGCUCUCCGGAGCUCUUUAUGCUGAGCCAUUCCUUUAGCUUGAGUCAUUCGUUUUUGUAAAGCUUUAGGAACAGACAGACAUCCUGACUUCAAACCGUAGCCAUUGACCGCCUGUCAGAUAAUCUCUGGACUCUUUCCCUAAGCACUUUUUUAUUCGGGUUAAUCUAGCUAAAAGCUAAAGCUCCAGCCAUAUAUGUGUUUUCCCUAACAUCUUCAGCGAUUCCCUUCUAUCUGCUGAUACCUUUGACAGCAGGACUGAAAGAUAGUUUGUUAUAAUGCUUGUAGAGGACAAGCUCAUUGUCCUGUGAAGAUAGGUGGUCUUUUAGUUCUAAUUUUGGUUACGGUUUAUUGUUUAUUUUGUAAUAAGAGCCAUAAAAUAAUUUUGCAGUAAUUCAUAUUACUAGACUUAUGCAGUGAUCCAAGGUGUCAACUGAGAGAAAAAUACACAACAUGAGAGGUGUGAGUUAAGGUUUAUUCAGGGUCUUACUGAGGACUGUAGCCCCAGAGACAGCAUUCGGAUAGCUCUGAGGGACUGCUCCAGAGAGGUGGGGGGAGGCUACUUUAUAUGUGAUUUUGUUGUUGUUGUUAGGGAACACGUGCAGUCAAAUGUAUCUUGGUAAAAGAUCACUGCCCGUCACAAAGAACAGAUAUCCCAAGUUAAUGAUUAUAGGGCUUUUCUAUGUAUGGGAAGCGGGGUUCAUUAAAACUCUUCGUGAAAUGCAUGUGUCUAAGGGCCUGUUUGUCCAAAGCACAGAGCCUCCCGUUUUCAUCUUUAAAUUUCCUCUGAAGCACAGAUUGCCCAUCCUGUUAUCACCUUAAUCUCUUCAUCUGAAGCAUCCAGUGCCCUGUUGUUCAGCGGCUGCAGCGGGUUAAUCUUUGAAGACUUGGAUGGGAUGGUAUAAAGAAGCAUUAGAACAGUUUGAAGAAAUCAAGGAAAAGGAUCAUCAGGCAACUUACCAGCUAGGAGUGAUGUAUUAUGAUGGUCUGGGGAUGACCGCAGACGCUGAAAAAGGAGUGGAAUAUAUGAAGAAAAUCGUUGAUUCUCCAUGUCCCAAAGCAAGACACUUACAAUUUGCAGCAGCUUACAACCUUGGAAGAGCUUAUUAUGAAGGAAAAGGUGUUAAACAAUCAGACGAGGAAGCUGAAAGACUGUGGCUUUUUGCUGCAGACAAUGGAAAUCCAAAAGCUAGUGUGAAGGCUCAAAGUAUCCUAGGAUUGUAUUACUCAACAAAGGAACCCAGAGAGUUAGAGAAGGCGUUUUAUUGGCAUUCAGAAGCUUGUGGCAAUGGAAACCUGGAAUCCCAGGGUGCGCUUGGGCUCAUGUACUUUUAUGGACAAGGCAUCCACCAGGAUACCGAGGCUGCCCUGCAUUGCUUGAGGGAAGCAGCAGAGCGUGGAAAUGUCUACGCUCAAGGGAAUCUCGUGGAGUAUUACUAUAAGAUGAAAUUUUUUACAAAGUGUGCUGCAUUUUCGAAAAGGAUUGCUGACUACGAUGAGAUUCAUGACAUCCCCAUGAUAGCCCAGGUCACGGACUGUCUCCCAGAAUUCAUCAGCAGAGGCAUGGCCAUGGCCUCUUUCUACCACGCACGGUGUCUGCAGCUUGGCUUGGGUAUCACAAAGGAUGAAGCAACAGCUAAACACUAUUAUUCUAAAGCUUGUCUUCUGAAUCCUUCAUUGGCAGAUGAACUUCACACUUUACUUAUUCGUCAGAGAAUUUAGACUACAAUGUACUUCAACAAAGAUCAUCGAUCCUAACAACUUAGAAUCACUUAUGUUUCAUAUCAAUAACUAGGCAUAUCAGGAACUCAGCAGGGUCAGAGCCCAGGCCUCACCUGGAAUGUUUUCAAGCAGCUUCUGCUGUGCUCUCCGCUUUGUUUCCUGGCUUUGCUCUUCACUUGGGAUUGUGUUCGGAGGUGCCAAAUUCCCACCGGGCCACAAAGCAUCCCGGAGAGCGCCGAUGUAGUAGACCACCAUUUGCUCGCUGAGAGCCCAGUCCACUGCGUCCCGGAGUUGUCUUUCAAGAGCAAAAUAUUUCUUGGAUGAGGUUUUUAAAAAUCUUAUUCUCUAUUCUCACAAGGCAUUUAUCAAUGAGUAGGUUAAGAUAAGCGUUUGAUGAAUAAACUAGGAAUUGGAUUUUUAAACUCUGACUCGGAAAGUUUUUUUUUAUUUUGGUAACACUGACAGCCAUUCAUUCCUGGAGCUCACAUUUUCACUGGUACUGAAUUCUCUAAAUGUUUGCCGCACGGUGUCUUUCAAUCUGGAAAAGCAAGAACUGAGAGGAGACUGAUUUGUUUGAAGCUUGCAACUACUCUUAACUGUGCACGGUACUCAACAUACUAAUUUCUCCAUGAAGUGGUAUAAACUGAAAGCAUCAAUCCGUUUUAAAAGACUGUGAAGAGCUCCCUGAGCUCUGGGAGUCCUGGGGAGAACCAAGCUUCUUCACUAGUUGUCCCCUGGGGCGGCCACGGCAGAGGAUGCUGGGCAGAGUUGUCUGACCCCGGAAACAUCUCACAUGCUCACGGGGCAAAGGGGGAAAAGACACCCCCCUUUCACCACAAAGGGGGGGACUUUGAAAAGAUACACUGCUAUCCAGCCACGUCACCUUCCCACAGGAGUGAAAAUCGGGCAGAUCUUGACCUGCACGGUUAUAAAUAAGUGGCUUUUAUCUGGUUACCCAGGUCUUCCAUAAACCCAACUUCAUCAAAUUCCAGCCAACCACUGGACUGCUGCAGAGAGCAGCACAGCUCACAGAGCCAGGAGCGGUGCUGAGGUUGGGAAGGGAAGUCUCUCUGCAGAAAAUGGGAGCAGAAUCACCUUGGACUAUUAGUGCAAGAAAGACCUGAAGUUUCAAACUUAAUUCACGAAUAAUAAAUCAGAAAGCCCUUUAAGAAUCUGACUUCCCAACCAGAUUUUUAAAGGGACAAUGUGAGGUUUUCAGAAAUAAUAUCUGAAAUAGAUGUUUCAAGCCCAGCACUUUGCACACAGUAACUAGUCACCAAUGAAGUCUAAAUUCCACUGUGAGUCAGAACCAUGGUAAUCCUGUUUGUAACUGCAUGUCUCCUAAGAUACUUCCCGAUACUGCUUAGAACUGUGCAAUUCAUAUCUAGAUCAAAUAAAACAAUUUUAUUAAUUGAAUGGGGCUUUGGCUUUGAGAACCUGCUGACCUGCCUAAGUAAA